rnacentral:rRNA from 1 species
CCUACGGGGGGCAGCAGUGGGGAAUAUUGGAGAAUGGGCGAAAGCCUGAUCCAGCCAUGCCGCGUGUGUGAAGAAGGCCUUCGGGUUGUAAAGCACUUUCAGUGGGGAAGAAAGCCUUGGGGCUAAUACCCUCGAGGAAGGACAUCACCCACAGAAGAAGCACCGGCUAACUCCGUGCCAGCAGCCGCGGUAAUACGGAGGGUGCGAGCGUUAAUCGGAAUUACUGGGCGUAAAGCGCGCGUAGGCGGUCUGAUAAGCCGGUUGUGAAAGCCCCGGGCUCAACCUGGGAACGGCAUCCGGAACUGUCAGGCUAGAGUGCAGGAGAGGAAGGUAGAAUUCCCGGUGUAGCGGUGAAAUGCGUAGAGAUCGGGAGGAAUACCAGUGGCGAAGGCGGCCUUCUGGACUGACACUGACGCUGAGGUGCGAAAGCGUGGAUAGCAAACAGGAUUAGAUACCCUAGUAGUC